rnacentral:rRNA from 1 species
UGAAAACAGGCGAUAAAUCAUUCAAGUUUCUGACCUAUCAGCUUUCGACGGUAUGGUAUUGGCUUACCGUGGCAGUGACGGUUAACGGGGGAUUAGGGUUCGAUUCCGGAGAGGGAGCCUGAGAAACGGCUACCACAUCUAAGGAAGGCAGCAGGCGCGCAAAUUACCCAAUUCUAACAGUUUGAGAGAGGUAGUAACAAGAAAUAACAAUACAAGGCAGUUAAAAUGCUUUGUAAUUGGAAUGAUAGAAAUUUAAACCCUUUUUAAAGUAUCAAUUGGAGGGCAAGUCUGGUGCCAGCAGCCGCGGUAAUUCCAGCUCCAAUAGCGUAUAUUAAAAUUGUUGCAGUUAAAAAGCUCGUAGUUGAAGUUCUGCUAAAAGUAACCGGUCUGCUUUGAAUAAAAGUGGUAUCUUGGUAUGUAUUUAGCAAUGAUGUCCUUUGAAGUGUUUUUUACUUUAUUGUAAUAAAGCAUAUUCAGGACUUUUACUUUGAGAAAAUUAGAGUGUUUCUAGCAGGCCAACGCUUUGAAUACUGCAGCAUGGAAAUAAUAA